rnacentral:rRNA from 1 species
AUUGAACGCUGGCGGCAGGCUUAACACAUGCAAGUCGAGCGGGGGAAGGUAGCUUGCUACCGGACCUAGCGGCGGACGGGGGAGUAAUGCUUAGGAAUCUGCCUAUUAGUGGGGGACAACAUCUCGAAAGGGAUGCUAAUACCGCAUACGUCCUACGGGAGAAAGCAGGGGAUCUUCGGACCUUGCGCUAAUAGAUGAGCCUAAGUCGGAUUAGCUAGUUGGUGGGGUAAAGUCCUACCAAGGCGAGGACCUGUAGCGGGUCUGAGAGGAUGAUCCGCCACACUGGGACUGAGAGCCGGACCGGGCUCCUACGGGAGGCAGCAGUGGGGAAAAUUGGACAAUGGGGGGAACCCUGAUCCAGCCAUGCCGCGUGUGUGAAGAAGGCCUUAUGGUUGUAAAGCACUUUAAGCGAGGAGGAGGCUACUUUAGUUAAUACCUAGAGAUAGUGGACGUUACUCGCAGAAUAAGCACCGGCUAACUCUGUGCCAGCCGCCGCGGUAA